GAUAUGGCUCAGAUUGAACGCUGGCGGCAGGCCUAACACAUGCAAGUCGAACGGUAACAGGAAGAAGCUUGCUUCUUUGCUGACGAGUGGCGGACGGGUGAGUAAUGUCUGGGAAACUGCCUGAUGGAGGGGGGAUAACUACCGGAAACGGUAGCUAAUACCGCAUAACGUCGCAAGACCAAAGAGGGGGGACCUUCGGGCCUCUUGCCAUCGGAUGUGCCCAGAUGGGAUUAGCUAGUAGGUGGGGUAACGG
rnacentral:rRNA from 1 species